rnacentral:lncRNA from 1 species
AAGGUAAAGAGAAGUUUAAAGGAACAAACAUUAGAGAGCGUUUUGUCAAUUAAAGUGAUUGCUACAGUUACCGAAAUAAG